CACGUAGGGGCCAAGCGUUGUCCGGAAUCACUGGGCGUAAAGGGUGCGUAGGUGGCCCGACAAGUCACUGGUGAAAGCUCGAUGCUCAACAUCGAGUCGGCCAGUGAUACUGUGGGGCUGGAGCACUGUAGAGGCAGAUGGAAUUCCCGGUGUAGCGGUGGAAUGCGUAGAUAUCGGGAAGAACACCAGUGGCGAAGGCGGCCGACUGGACGGCACCUGACGCUGAGGCGCGAAAGUGUGGGGAGCAAACGGG
rnacentral:rRNA from 1 species